GGGGCGUUAGAUCAGUUGGUAGAGCAGUUGACAUUUAAUCAAUUGGUCGCAGGUUCGAAUCCUGCACGCCCCACCA
rnacentral:tRNA from 1 species